rnacentral:lncRNA from 1 species
CCUUCCCAAUCAAAGUUACCAUAAAUAACCGCAACAAAUCGAGUCAUUCCACAUGUCAAGAAUCCCCCAUCCCAUAGAAGGCCGGAAUUCUUCUUUAAAGAUGUAUUCCCAUGCCAACCUCUCCUUUACCACCUUCCCUCCUCACCUCCUCUCUUUCUCUAAAUCAACCUUCAUCUUCCAUACUCUUUUGACAAGACAAAAUGGCUCGUUGGAGUAGCGUGAGGUAAAUAUUCGACCGACCAAUUUCUAUUGCCUGAUGCUAAUGGAGUCAAUUAAUGAAACCAAAAUGGUAGGAGUGAAAGUGAUAUGGAUUGUUAUAGCCCAAAACCAAUUCAGCCCAUCAAAACCCACAAAAAAAAAAAAAAAAACAAACAGGG